rnacentral:ncRNA from 12 species
GGCAUUUGAAGUAGAGAUUGUGCUGCUACACGCCCAUUGGGCCAAAAGAAAUGCGGGAAAGGGCACACCCGCCAAGUGCG